CAACUGAUCAUGUAGUUGCUUAGAAGGCAAAAAUUUCUUGAUGAUUUCAUUUUCAAGCCAAUCUGCAGUUUGGUCCCCCUCCCUUGAAGUGUGCCUACAAGAGAUGUUGAGGUUGCUGUCUUGAUCAAUCUGCUUGCCUUCUCCCCAAGACUUUCUAUUCACGUCAUUCUCUAUUUUUGAGAGAAAAAAGGGGGCGAAAAGAGGACGUAACCAAGCAUACCAAGCGAAAGGAGAUCAAGCAUACCAGGCGAAGAAUACCAAAUCAGACAUGACCAAGCAGACCUCGACAAGAACACCAAAUCGGGCGUGACCAAGCGGAAAGACAUUGUUGACAAGGAGAGAGCAGACCAGGCGUGAUCAGGCAAAAGCAGACCAAGCAGAACAGGACAUAACCUGCACUCUGAAUCUAUGGGUUGUUCAUAUGAUCAAUCACAGCCAUCAUCACUCAUUGAUGCAGAUUUGUCAGAUUCUGUAACAUCUUUCAACAUGAGGAGAGCUGGAUAUGAGGUUGCAAUAGAUUCCACUGGCAUUCUUUCCAGGAUAUUUCAUAGCAUUGAUCUUGCAGAUAUUGGGCUAACAGGAACAUAGCUCGACGAUGCCAGGGAGGUUAUCAUGCAUGCUGAGCUGCUGUUUGGAAAUAUUACCUUGAGCCAUGUAGAUGGCAUGGCAAGCUUCCUCACAGGCCCCCCUGCUUACAAGUUGGAUGCUCUUGCCGAUACCUUUUGGAGAAGUUACAGUUGCAAUCUGAGUUUCAAGGAAGCCAAAGAAGGUUUCCUACUUAGGAGUUUUCUUUUUGACUGUAUUAUAGAGUGCUUGGACUCCAAAUAUAGUCAUUACUGUAAAUCAAGAUACAACACAUGGGGGAAAUUGCCACUGCACAUGAGUGGAGAGUUGCUGCUACAAGAGGUCUAAGAUGAGGUUAGAAGGUGGUCUGAUUUUGCUGGAAAAAUCCCAUAUGAGAUAAUAGAGAGAGAGAGAGAGAGAGAGAUGAGUCAUGCGUUGGGGAAAUGGACAGAUUUUGAGAUUGAAGUACUGAAGUCUUGUUAUGGACCUUUGGCAAUGUGGAGCUACUUUCUCUUGGAUACUAUAGAAAAUAAGAAAGCCCCCUAACCAUGGCUUCUUAUAAACAGCUAAUCACUUUGUUUGCCUUUCUCUCUCUGUUGAGUUUUUUUGUUUUUACUUUUGUGUAGGGCUCCUCUAUCGAGAGUGUUGUAAGUUCAAGUUGCAGAUUCUAGGUUCUAUGUCAGUGAACAGGCUACAGAACGAGCUAGGGAACCUCUGUUGUACCUCCAUGUUUCUCUACGAUAAGAUGAAUUUAUUUGUACAAAUAAUUGGGCUUCACCUUCACAGCGGAUUGUGUUUCU